GUGAGAAGGUCAUUCUAGGCAGAAGGCAGCUUGGAGAAAAUAAAGCAUGGGCAAUGUGAAGUGAAUUCUAAGUAUUCUCAUUUGGCUACCUACGGAGGUUCAUAUAACUGGGGAGUGGUGGGACAUAACAGCUAGAGAAGCACACGGGGGUUAGUGCUUGGUGAGGACUUCUAGGGAGUCUUCUGGGAACUAAGAAAAUAGUUUUGAGAAAAACUAUGCACAAUAAGUGAAAUAUCCUAUUAACUCUGCUCACCUCUCGGAACCAGCUGAGAAUAAGAAAUAUGAGAGAACAC
rnacentral:lncRNA from 1 species